GACGUGGUCCUCCUCCUCAAACAGGGCCUUCUGCACCGAGGAACACAUGAGCUGGGGAGGAAACACGAGGUGUGGGGGGAGAGAGAGGCAGGAAAAAAAAAAAAUUCUAAAUAUUUGUCACUCUAGCAAAAAGGACAGCGCUAGUGACCCAAAAGAACAAAACCUAAAACAGAAAAAUGCACAGAGAAUAUGGAUGGUCUACAGGAAAGCAUUAAAAAAGACACCAGUCCUGGCUAUGGACACUGCAAUGGUCCCUGAGUUUCACCAGACCCUCUCCGGCAAAGGACCUCAACAGGGGUUUCUCCAAAGAAGACAUACAGGUGGCCAACUGGUAUGUGGAAGGUGCUGGACACCACUAAU